AGCAGAUGAUGGUUUUUCCUCAUGAUAGUCUGUGGAUGACACUGUGGGCAGCAGCGGUAACACCAAUGGCUCAGCUGAUGCCAGGAA
ensembl:snoRNA